rnacentral:lncRNA from 1 species
ACCUGACGGCAAGCGGUGGGUGCCUAAUCCCACGCGCGGCUCAUCCUCGCUGAUCCACGGCGCGCUUCACCCAGCGACCACCGCUGCUGCUGUUUCCAUAUCUCUCUCUCUCUCUCUCUCUCUCUCUCUCUCUCUCUCAUUCACAGGAUCUAGUACCGUAUAACAUUGGAACUCCACAAUCUUUGCUACUACUGUUUGUAACUCCAUAAUCUCACCGUACCGGCCUCUUCCCUCUCUCAAACGGACCUUGCUUGUGUUACAACUCUGAAUCGUGUAGUACAUGUGUGCUGCGAAUUCGAGGCAAGUUCUCGUUUAGUUAUAUGGAUGGAUCCCUUGCAUAUAUGUCUAAUUGUUACAUAGACGAAAAAUGGAGUUACUAUGUAUGGGUUACUUGUUCCCUUGCAUAUUAUAUUCAUAUAUAUUUCGUCUUCUGUUUCAGAGAAAAUCCCCUCUUGCUUACUCCAUUUUUUAGCUACUGAAUUACUCCCCUCUUGCUUAUGAUCGGCUCAUCGCCUUGUUCAAUUCUAAUAUUGCAGAAAUGUACACUUAGUAGAAGAUUGAUGAAACAAAGAGAAACACGGGUUAAAACUGAGACCAGCAGCAUGGGACUCGAGUAAUCCUACUAAUCAUGCUACUGUUUCACACUAGCUAAUCAUGCUACUGUUGCUACUGGUUCAAAUUUAUGCUGCUUGCAAAAUCAGAGGCCACAAGUUCAACAAAUUAGUUAUUGGUUCAGACUUAUGUUGUUUCAUCCGUAUAUCGACUUACCAAAUUAACAUAAGCUCUUAGACCUUUUCUCCAUUAAAUUGCCCCGCUUGGACCUGCACAUUAAAAAUGGAUGUUAAGCACCAUAAAAAAUUGCAUAGUUUAGUAAACAAGUUAGCAUACAAGGUUUACAUAUUACAUAGCUACCUGGAGAUCCAUUUUGUCCUUGAUAAGCAACGACCAAGCUACAACCACCUCCAAUGUGGUGUCCCCAAGUACACAAUCAAACGCGGUUGUUUGGCACUGCUUAACAGGAAAGUCAACAUGCCCCUUUUGUGCAAUACACUGACCGGGCCCUCCGUAUGCUUCUAUGGUCACUCUCAGAAUCCCAUAUGAUUUCACUGAAACCACUCGUCUCGACAAGUGAAGAUACUUGCCUGAACCUGAAUGUAUUUCUUUGUCACGAUCAUCAAGCAAGACAAUUGACCUGCAAGUGGUAUCGAUCACAUCUACAGCAGAAGAAGGAGCCCAAAAGCAAAUGACCCGACAUCCAUGUUUGAAAGGCCAAUCCCCUUUGGUUACUCGUAUGCCCACAAUAGUAGCUUGGUGCGAUUUAUGAAGCUGCUCAAGUGUUAACUCAGUUGUACAACGAUGGUUGGAGAGCAAGAAGGUAGGUCCAUCACCACCAUAAGUCACACUGGCUGAGGAAGUGUUAAAAUCAUCUGUACCGCCGUAACGGCCUGUACAAAUAAUCAAUCUUUGCGACUCAGCUUCAUCGAUUACUUUGAGUUCAACUUCAAAGUCGACAUGGUCAAAACUAACAAUCGCACGAGACGGGCCAAUCAAGCAUAAGGAAUCAUUCUGCAGGAAUUAUAAUCAUUAUAAAUACCUAAUCGCAAUUAUACUACGGAACAUGAAUAAAAUGAGAAGAAAACUUAAUACAAUACAUACUUCUCCAUUUAGUUCUUGAUAAUCAAACUUUGGCCGAGAGAACAGAAUGUUGCGGUUGCGGUCCACAGUGUCUCGAGCAGCAACCUUGCCAUACACUUUGAAUGGCCAAUUCAAGCCUUUCAGAUUCUUUAUCUUAAUUGAAUAGAUCUGCAAAGUAGUACCAGUGACGGCAGCAGGGGAUGGGAUGCUGCCAGGUGUGUAGUGUGUAAACUGCAUAGGGCUUAGUAUGACUGCAGCACAAAGACAAGUGUCAAAUGUUAGAAUUCUAAUAUGAAUAAGCAAUGUAAAGAUAUCAUCAAAAACAAGCGUGUAAAUUGCAUAGGGCUCAAUAUGGCUGCAGCACCAAAGACAAGUGUCAAAUAUCAGAAUUCUAAUAUGAAUAAGCUUUGGAACAGAAAUAUUUCAUUUUGAAGAAAACGGAACUUCAUUGACAGCACACUGAAGCUAGAGGUACAUAAAAUGUGAUUAUUUUUCUAAAACGGGCUUGUUUGCAUUUAAAUCAUCAUGAGCUACCAAAUGGUACAUUAAUGUUCCUACUCCAGAAAUUGCCACAGUGCUUGAAAGAAUAGUUUCAUCUUCUACAAUUAGAAGAACUUUCUAGUUUAGCGGAUUGUCGACCGAUUCACAAGUUUACUACUAUCUAUUAAUGCUUCUAAUCAUUUUGCUAUGAUAAAAUUCUGCUUUAUCCAUAAAGAGAGAGCGCUAUAAGUUUAAGAUUCAAAUUAGUGAGGUGAUUUGCAUGGACAACUGGUGGUACAAAAGUUGCAAGGAUUGCUGAAAAAAGGUUCAAGCAUAGGGAGACACUUAUUACAAAAACUUGCAUCUCAUAGUUACUCCACACAAGUAACACACACAAAAGUACAGGAUAUGUACAGUUACACACAUCCCCCCUACUGUUAUGCGUGUAUGUCUCAUAGUUAGACAUUAAUAUGUAUGCUAAACUUUGUUAGUAGUGUACUAAUUGCUUGAUUUAUUCAAAACAAGAUAACUAUACAGAUGGUGUACAGGUUAAUCAUGAAAAUAUACAUCGAAUUCUGUUACCUUUUUAAGUUGAUUGCCAAUUAUGGAAGGGCCACUUUUAUAGGAUGUAACUAAGCAGUCAUACACAGGGAUGUUCAUAGUUUGAUUUGUAAGAGUAUGGGAAGUGACAAAAUUGACUUGGUGUUGUUGGAGCAUCAAGUUGUUACCCUACAUAUGUCAUGUUCCAUAUAACGAGAAGAGAACACAUUUUUUGUGUUUGUUUUAAACUGGCACUACCAUUUACAUUAUGUAAUAUCCGUAUCUACUAUGUAUCCAUUUAUUUAGGGGGGAACAAUGGAAGAACUGGUACCAGAAAGAAGACUGAUGCAAUUUAAGGAUCAGCUAACAAAGGGUUGCAUAAACACACAGUUGAAAACUUCAGCUUAUAUGAUGCUAGACAAAGCUCAGGCGUUUGGAUCACCUCUUAGGCUAUGCUUUACAUACCAGACCAGGGGUGAACAAAAUAGUACCCCAGCAAGAAAAUUUUCCACUGUUUCCUCACAAUGCGCCUUGCUGGAGGCUUGAGCAGAGCAGAACACUAUACUUUCAGGUCGAU